UUGACCUCAAAUCGGGUGAGACUACCCGCUGAACUUAAGCAUAUCAAUAAGCGGAGGAAAAGAAACUAACAAGGAUUCCCCUAGUAACUGCGAGUGAAGCGGGAAAAGCUCAAAUUUAAAAUCUGGCGGUCGAAGGCCGUCCGAGUUGUAAUUUAGAGAAGCGUCUUCCGCGCCGGACCGUGCACAAGUCUCCUGGAAUGGAGCGUCAUAGAGGGUGAGAAUCCCGUCUUUGGCACGGAUGCCUGUGCUUCUGCGAUGCGCUCUCGAAGAGUCGAGUUGUUUGGGAAUGCAGCUCAAAAUGGGUGGUGAACUCCAUCUAAAGCUAAAUAUUGGCGAGAGACCGAUAGCGAACAAGUACCGUGAGGGAAAGAUGAAAAGCACUUUGGAAAGAGAGUGAAACAGUACGUGAAAUUGUUGAAAGGGAAACGCUUGAAGUCAGUCGCGUCGACCGAGACUCAGCCUUGCCUUGGCUUGGUGUACUUCUCGGCCCGACGGGUCAGCGUCAAUUUUGCCCCUCGGAUAAUGGCAAGGGAAAGGUGGCACCUUUGCGGGUGUGUUAUAGUCUCCUGUCGCAUGCGAGGGGUGGGAUUGAGGAACUCAGCGUGCACCUUGGUGUCGGGGCUUCGGCCCACGUCACGCGCUUAGGAUGCUGGCGUAAUGGCUUUAAACGACCCGUCUUGAAACACGGACCAAGGAGUCCAACACGCCCGCGAGUGUUCGGGUGGAAAACCCGUGCGCGCAAUGAAAGUGAAAGUUGGGACCUCUGUCGUGGAGGGCACCGACGCCCGGACCAGACCUUCUGUGACGGAUCUGCGGUAGAGCGUGUGUGUUGGGACCCGAAAGAUGGUGAACUAUGCCUGAAUAGGGUGAAGCCAGAGGAAACUCUGGUGGAGGCUCGUAGCGAUUCUGACGUGCAAAUCGAUCGUCAAAUUUGGGUAUAGGGGCGAAAGACUAAUCGA
rnacentral:rRNA from 1 species